rnacentral:lncRNA from 1 species
UUAGAUUGUAAAAUAAUGUAAAGUAAAAACAUUCAAAACUCUAAUUAGUGCUCGAAGAUGUUAGCGUAUAAAAUUUAACCUUAUUGUCUAUGCUAUUUACUCGAUGACAACUUUGUCAAUUGGCCAUGCAACUGUGGUACCAACACAUUCUUCAAUAUAAAUCAUAUCAGAAGUAGGCCUCCACAAGAAUGCACCAGGUUUUAAAGCUACAUCAACCCAAACUCUCACAGCAUUAGGUCCUAG